AAAUGACUCUCGGCAACGGAUAUCUCGGCUCUCGCAUCGAUGAAGAACGUAGCGAAAUGCGAUACUUGGUGUGAAUUGCAGAAUCCCGUGAACCAUCGAGUUUUUGAACGCAAGUUGCGCCCGAAGCCAUUAGGUUGAGGGCACGUCCGCCUGGGUGU
rnacentral:rRNA from 10 species